UAUUAAAAAUUCAUUUUUAUUACAACAAUUCUUUUUAUCUUCUCCAUUCUGGGCACAAUAAUGGAGGUAGAUUUGGUAGAAAUUGCAACCAGUUACUUUACAAUCAUUUAAAAUGAUUUAUCAUCACAUUAGCCAGAUUAAAAGUUACUGCACAGGUAUCAUAUGAGGCAAAAUUACUGAAAUUUAUAUCAAGUGUACUAAAAAUAUGCACAAAAACCUCUUAAGUAAUUUUUAUCUUUGAUUGUUUUGUAUACUUUCUCACAUGAUUUAAUGAAAAUUAGUUAAUUUUCACUGUAUACAACCAGUGACAAGUAGCAUAUGGUCAAUUACCAUUAUACACAGUUUUUCAGGUUUGUGACCAUUUGAUUACGAGAAUGCAUUGAAUCGAAAUAAUAAUUGAUAAUAUCAAAUGAUUGUAAGCUGAUUAGUAACAGAUGUUGACAAGGGUGAAUUAUUCACUGUGUUAAAGAGGUUGUAAGUCCUUUUGCUACUAAAAGCCUAUGUUUGGCUCAGGUAAUGCAUACAAAACAUUAAGCAUUCAGAUUUAGUAGAAUUCUCUGGUAUAGCCAAUUCAGGGCUGUAAUAUUUACUAAAAAAAUUAAAUAAAUCAAGGUGCUAAUAUAACACCAGGGCACCAUCUGUUCUGCAGCACAGUGAGAUAUUACAGUGAGUUCAUAACAUUGUUUCAAAUGUGUGUGUGAAUUUCAGUGAGGUUGAAGAGUGGCUAACAUUUCAUCCACUAAGCAUACUCCAACCAUGAACAGUGUCAUCACUACAUAGGAUGUAUCACCACCCCUUACAUACAUUAGAACAAAGUAUGAAGGCUGUUAUUUCUAUUACUUUGAGCUGUCUGAAUAUCAUUCGCGAUAGUAUGGAGGUACAAAUACAGUGACUUCUGCCUACACUCUUAGUCUUGGGAAUGCUUUUCUCCCCAUUUUGUGGGGAAAUGCUAAGUGAUAAUACUGCAAACUGCACUGAGAGCAUAUCAUUUCCUCCUACAUACAUCUGGCAAAGCAACAAUGAGAAAAUGACAAAUUAGAGUUCAUAAGAAGUCAUACUGUCAGCUGUUUUAACAAAUUAUUUGUAAAUGUAACAGGAAAGUGACAGUGGCACCACUAAUAGCAUCUGCAUGGUUUGCAGACUACAGAUAUAGAAGACCCUUGCUACAAUACCUUUGAUGAUCUGAUUACUUAGAGAUAAGUGUCGAAAAAACAUUCCAAUGGGUAACAAUAAAUUGUAGUUAAUUUUCCAUUUCUCAUUAGAUAUUGGAAUAACAGCUUAAACGUCUGAAUUUUGCCAAAGUAACAUAUCACAUUCUAUGUGCAGAAAUCUGAGCACAUCAUUUGAAACUGCACACUGUAACUAUAAAAAUCAAUACUUCAGUUCAUUUGUUUACAUGCACUUAAAGGAAGGAACUCCUCAAAUUUUCUUAUAAGAGAUCAUUUCCAAUACCUUCUGAUAUAAUGUUAAAUAUAGCAACACAAUAAAAUAGUGUGAACACACAUUUUAACAUAUUGACUGCCACAGCACAGCCUUACACCAGAUGCUGGGGUGCUCUCUGGCAGUCUCAGCAGGAUCUGACAUUGUGGCUUACCCUGGUGGUGAAACACCCAUCCCUAUUUGUGUGGCAGACAACAUUGUAAGUACCCAUAUUACACAUUAAAAAUAUGUUUUGUGGGUUGGGUAUUUACCAGCAUAUUAACUAUUUAAUUCAGUGUACAGCUCAUCAACUUACAUAAGUAAUGCUGUUUGAAGCUGUACAGUAAACACUGAGAGACAGUUGGGAAACUAAGCUGCCAGAGUAAUUGUAACUAAUCAUCACAGCUUAUAGUUAGUGCCACUUGAGCAAAUAAUAGAAAAAGAAAAAUUGAAGAAAAAUAAUAGAAAUAGAAAACGAGUCAGUCAUACUCAAAGGCAAGAGAAGUUUUCCGGUAUUCUAAGGUGACACUUGAGACAACACAACAGCAGAAGGGCAAAAAAUAUUAAAAGCCAAACACUGGAUGUGAUUGUAACAGACUUAUUUAUUUAUUGCCAGUUUCUUAUUGCCGUCAUCUCAUAGUUCACCAUUACAUUUAGACAAAUAGCAAAUCUCCCUCUGUUCUUCGCAACAGGUACCCAUUUGAACACGAAUAUACUAUAAGUUUUAAUUAACGAGAUAUAAAAACGUGAGGACACUAAAAUUAGUCAAUGAUACUACAACUGAUAAAAAGUGAGAGAGAGAAAUGCAAAGCAAAGGUAAACACUCAUUUACUGCUGAAGACUGGAAACGAAUUUGCAAAAAAUCGAAUCAAUAGAAUUAUAACAACAGCGCUUUUUCGUUGCUUCUACUGCUCUAGAUUCAAAUACUUCACUACCAGAAACAUUAAUAGAAUGUUUUCUGUUAUACAGGAAGGAAAUUGAAGUAUUUCGUAGAGAAGCAGCUUUCUACUACCGAGCGCUUGUACAUUGUUAUCGGAUCUUCAUAACUACUAACUCAAUAGCAGUGAACAUGCGCUUACAGAACUGUGUUUAUCCGUAAUGGUUCCAAAUCCAGUAGCAGAGGAAAUUCCGUUGUACUGGCACUGCAAGCGUUGUGAACAGUAUAUUUAUUUGGAGAACGCGGCUAGUAUAUAUGGGUUUGAAACACCCUGCUUAACUUUCAUGAAACAUCAGAUCAGAUGCCCUGUCAAA